rnacentral:rRNA from 1 species
GACGAACGCUGGCGGCGUGCUUAACACAUGCAAGUCGAACGAUGAAGCCUUUCGGGGUGGAUUAGUGGCGAACGGGUGAGUAACACGUGGGCAAUCUGCCCUGUACUUUGGGAUAAGCCUUGGAAACGAGGUCUAAUACCGGAUAUGACUGGCCUUCGCAUGGGGGUUGGGUUGAAAGUUCUGGCGGUACAGGAUGAGCCCGCGGCCUAUCAGCUUGUUGGUGGGGUAAUGGCCUACCAAGGCGACGACGGGUAGCCGGUCUGAGAGGACGACCAGCCACACUGGAACUGAGACACGGUCCAGACUCCUACGGGAGGC